UGGCGAUUUUAAGCCCAGUCAAAU
rnacentral:piRNA from 1 species